rnacentral:rRNA from 1 species
GAGUUUGAUCCUGGCUCAGAUUGAACGCUGGCGGCAUGCCUUACACAUGCAAGUCGAACGGUAACAGGUCUUCGGAUGCUGACGAGUGGCGAACGGGUGAGUAAUACAUCGGAACGUGCCCAGACGUGGGGGGAGUAACGAGGCGAAAGCUUUGCUAAUACCGCAUACGAUCUAAGGAUGAAAGCAGGGACCGCAAGGCCUUGCGCGUUUGGAGCGGCCGAUGGCAGAUUAGGUAGUUGGUGGGAUAAAAGCUUACCAAGCCGACGAUCUGUAGCUGGUCUGAGAGGACGACCAGCCACACUGGGACUGAGACACGGCCCAGACUCCUACGGGAGGCAGCAGUGGGGAAUUUGGACAAUGGGCGAAAGCCUGAUCCAGCAAUGCCGCGUGCAGGAUGAAGGCCUUCGGUUGUAACUGUCUUUGUACGGAACGAAAGGACUC